rnacentral:rRNA from 1 species
CCUACGGGAGGCAGCAGUGAGGAAUAUUGGUCAAUGGACGAGAGUCUGAACCAGCCAAGUAGCGUGAAGGAUGACUGCCCUAUGGGUUGUAAACUUCUUUUAUAAAGGAAUAAAACGAGGCACGUGUGCCUUUUUGCAUGUACUUUAUGAAUAAGGAUCGGCUAACUCCGUGCCAGCAGCCGCGGUAAUACGGAGGAUCCGAGUGUUAUCCGGAUUUAUUGGGUUUAAAGGGAGCGUAGAUGGGUUGUUAAGUCAGUUGUGAAAGUUUGCGGCUCAACCGUAAAAUUGCAAUUGAUACUGGCAGUCGUGAGUACAGUUGAGGUAGGCGGAAUUCGUGGUGUAGCGGUGAAAUGCUUAGAUAGCACGAAGAACCCCGAUUGCGAAGGCAGCUUACUAAACUGUGACUGACAUUGAUGCUCGAAAGUGUGGGUAUCAAACAGGAUUAGAUACCCUAGUAGUC